rnacentral:rRNA from 1 species
UCUGGAUUUAGGCCACCUGUUCCUGAUCUUGUCUGAUCUCAGAACAUAUGCAAGUUUAGUUCAGGCUAGUACUUGGAUGGGAGACCACCUGGGGAUAGGUGGAGAAAUCAAAU